rnacentral:piRNA from 1 species
AGGACAGAAGAGGACCAUGAAUC